rnacentral:rRNA from 1 species
GACGAACGCUGGCGGCGUGCCUAAUACAUGCAAGUUGAGCGCUGAAGGUUGGUACUUGUACCAACUGGAUGAGCAGCGAACGGGUGAGUAACGCGUGGGGAAUCUGCCUUUGAGCGGGGGACAACAUUUGGAAACGAAUGCUAAUACCGCAUAAAAACUUUAAACACAAGUUUUAAGUUUGAAAGAUGCAAUUGCAUCACUCAAAGAUGAUCCCGCGUUGUAUUAGCUAGUUGGUGAGGUAAAGGCUCACCAAGGCGAUGAUACAUAGCCGACCUGAGAGGGUGAUCGGCCACAUUGGGACUGAGACACGGCCCAAACUCCUACGGGAGGCAGCAGUAGGGAAUCUUCGGCAAUGGACGAAAGUCUGACCGAGCAACGCCGCGUGAGUGAAGAAGGGUGUCGGAUCGUAAAACUCUGUUGGUAGAGAAGAACGUUGGUGAGAGUGGAAAGCUCAUCAGGUGACGGUAACUACCCAGAAAGGGACGGCUAACUACGUG